UCUAAACCUAGAUAUCCGAUUCGAAAAAGUCAUUAUUGUGACUAUAUUAUUUUAUAAGGUAUUAAUAGUGUGCAUUUUUUUCAUAAAAAGGACAUUGUAAUCUGUUAAUACAAUUUAUAUAUUCUUUUAUAUAUUAUUUUUAUCAUAAAGAGUCAUGUAUAAGUUUACAUAUAAAUUAAUUAAUUUAUUAAUUAAUUGAUGUAAGAUCGAUGAAUUUCUAGAUAAAUAGUUAACAGUAUUAAAAUAUAUAAUGCUUACAUAAUUUCUUAUGUUUUAUAUAUAAUACGUACACCAAGGAGUCUAAACACGGCCCAAGGAGUCUAAA
rnacentral:rRNA from 1 species